rnacentral:rRNA from 1 species
CCUACGGGAGGCAGCAGUAGGGAAUCUUUCACAAUGGGCGAAAGCCUGAUGGAGCAACGCCGCGUGCAGGAUGAAGGCCUUCGGGUUGUAAACUGCUUUUAUAAGCGAGAAAUAUGAUGGUAACUUAUGAAUAAGGAUCGGCUAACUACGUGCCAGAAGCCGCGGUCAUACGUAGGAUCCGAGCAUUAUCCGGAGUGACUGGGUGUAAAGAGUUGCGUAGGUGGCAUAAUAAGUAGCUAGUGAAAUCUGGUGGCUCAACCAUUCAGACGAUUAGCUAAACUGUUAAGCUCGAGACCGUUAGGGGUAACUGGAAUUUCUAGUGUAGGAGUGAAAUCCGUAGAUAUUAGAAGGAACACCCAUAGCGUAGGCAGGUUGCUGGGACGGUUCUGACACUAAGGCACGAAAGCGUAGGGAGCAAACGGGAUUAGAUACCCCAGUAGUC